AAUAUAUAGUCAUUGGACAAAAAUAAGCUUAUUGCAAAAUCAUCCUAAAUUCCAUGUUCUGCUCCUCACAUGAAAAAAAAAAAAGAAAGAAAAAGAAAAAAGAAAAAAAAAAAAGUGUUUGUUUAAUCUUUAGCUUUGGUUUGCAAAUUAGAAGUCACAAAGAAAACUACAUUUUUUAUUUUGUGUGUGUGUGUGUGUGUGGAACUUACCUGGCAGAGAAGUGCAAGAGUACAUAUCAUAAAUUUUCUUGCUGGAAAUAUGUGGGUGUAAAGGUUAAUGGCAUGCAGCAGCACUCUGAGUUCUGGGAAGAAAGGUCUGAGACUCAGCUCGCUGCAAUUCAGAGCAGCUGUGGGGUGUGAGUGCUGGCAUUCCCUCAACCUGCUUUCACGUCUCAGGGUUUUUAGCUGCUUUGCAAACUCACAGUUUCAGUGAUCGCUGUCCUCAGCUGUCCUUAGCUUUAUGUCUUAUUGACAAAGCAGCUAGGAAGAAACCAGGCUCCCUGUUUCUGUCCGCAGCCGUAUGGCCCAGGUCAGGGCUCAGAAGGCAAAUCGGCUCGGCACUGACAGGAGCAGUAUGCGAAGAGUUCAUCACUCGCUACGUGUUUUCUCCUCUUCCGUUAUUCAGUACUUGAUGUCUAAAAAGCAGUGAGAUGCAACUGACUUUCCUGCUAAUUUCAGACAAAGUAGUGUGUGAAAAGAACUUGUGGUCAUCAUCUGCCCCAUCUUCUGCUUCAAGGAAAACUCUUCUGAUACUAAAUGAGACCAGCAAUGGCUUUGUCUAGGCCAGUCUGGAAAGCCUCUGAAGAUGAAGGUCCCGUUGCCUCUCAGUAGUAACUGCGAGGUAACACAACUAGGAAGAGGAGCUGACCAUUGGCUUUCCUUUUUCACAAGUUUACUGCUUGGUAGGACUGCAAACUUCAAAAGUGAGACUUGAGUAAACUGUCUUUCAAAUCAUGGAGCCAAUUUUGCAGCAGUUAACCUUGUUGAUGCAAAAUAAAUAACGCUGUAGCGUGU